rnacentral:misc_RNA from 1 species
CGUGCAGAAAGUGUAGUUGCUUCUGUCUGAAGAGUCUGCACUUUUCUUUCAAGUUCUGACAUAUAGUGGGCUUUCCUCUCUUUUGACCGAGUAGCAGACUGCCGAUUUGCAAUAAUCCUUUUGGCUCGUUUUGGAUCUACAGUCCACAGCUCAGCAAGUUUACCAGGAGCCAUAGCUUUCUUGGCCUCUAUAGACUCCAUAACCGAAG